AGCGAACGCUGGCGGCAGGCUUAACACAUGCAAGUCGAGCGGGCCCUUCGGGGUCAGCGGCGGACGGGUGAGUAACGCGUGGGAACGUGCCCUCUGGUCUGGAAUAACCCUGGGAAACUAGGGCUAAUACCGGAUACGCCCUUUUGGGGAAAGGCUUGCUGCCGGAGGAUCGGCCCGCGUCUGAUUAGCUAGUUGAUGGGGUAACGGCCUACCAAGGCGACGAUCAGUAGCUGGUCUGAGAGGAUGAUCAGCCACACUGGGACUGAGACACGGCCCAGACUCCUACGGGAGGCAGCAGUGGGGAAUAUUGGACAAUGGGCGCAAGCCUGAUCCAGCCAUGCCGCGUGAGUGAUGAAGGCCUUAGGGUUGUAAAGCUCUUUUAUCCGGGACGAUAAUGACGGUACCGGAGGAAUAAACCCCGGCUAACUUCGCGCCAGCCGCCGCCGUAA
rnacentral:rRNA from 1 species